rnacentral:rRNA from 1 species
UAGGAGUACCCCCUGAACUUAAGCAUAUCAUUAAGGGGAGGAAGAGAAACUAACUAGGAUUCCCUUAGUAGGGGCGACCGAAGCGGGAAAAGCCCAAACUGUAAAUCUGCGUGCUUCGGUACGCCGAAUUGUAAUCUGAAGAGGGUCAGGCUAACGGAAGAGGAAGGGUAAGUGCGUUCGAGAGCGCCGCCAGAGAGGGUGAGAGCCCCGUAUGUACCGUCCUUUUCUACCUGCCAGGCUUUCCAAGAGUCGUGUACUCUGAUACGAGUGCACUAAGCGGGAGAUAUACUUCUUCUAAGCUAAAUACAUCUCGAAAACCGAUAGCGAACAAGUACUGUGAAGGAAAGAUGAAAAGCACUUUGGAAAGAGAGUUAAAAGACUUGAAAUCGUUGAGGCGGAAGCGGUAGAAAUGAAUUCUACAGUUGUUGCUGGAUGUCUGCGAAUCCAUAAGCGGGCUAUGAAGCGGCAGCGGUGAGGCAAGAUGGGGUCGCUCCCCGCCAUAAACGGUUCCGGUUCUCCGGGGCUACGUGGGUGGAGAGUGGCCUGAGGGGCCUUGUGCGAUCUUGUCAAAAUGGUUUUUACCGACCCGUCUUGAAACACGGACCAAGGAGUCUAA